rnacentral:rRNA from 1 species
ACGAACGCUGGCGGCACGCCUAACACAUGCAAGUCGAACGGAGAUUUGGAGCUUGCUUGAAAUACUUAGUGGCGGACGGGUGAGUAACACGUGAGCAACCUGCCUUUAAGAGCGGAAUAGCUUCUGGAAACGGAUGGUAAUACCGCAUAACAUUACCGGAUCGCAUGGUCUGGUAAUCAAAAGAUUUAUCGCUUAAAGAUGGGCUCGCGUCUGAUUAGAUAGUUGGUGGGGUAACGGCCUACCAAGUCGACGAUCAGUAGCCGGACUGAGAGGUUGAACGGCCACAUUGGGACUGAGACACGGCCCAGACUCCUACGGGAGGCAGCAGUGGGGAAUAUUGCACAAUGGGCGGAAGCCUGAUGCAGCGAUGCCGCGUGGAGGAAGAAGGUUUUCGGAUUGUAAACUCCUUUUAUCAGGGACGAAAAAUGACGGUACCUGAAGAAAAAGCUCCGGCUAACUACGUGCCAGCAGCCGC